rnacentral:rRNA from 1 species
UACGGAGGGUGCAAACGUUGCUCGGAAUCAUUGGGCGUAAAGCGCACGUAGGCGGCUCGUUAAGUCGGAUGUGAAAGCCCUGGGCUCAACCCAGGAAGUGCAUACGAAACUGGCGAGCUUGAGUAUGGAAGAGGGUCGCGGAAUUCCCGGUGUAGAGGUGAAAUUCGUAGAUAUCGGGAGGAACACCAGUGGCGAAGGCGGUUCUCUGGGACGGUACUGACGCUGAGACGCGAAAGCGUGGGGAGCGAACAGG